rnacentral:rRNA from 1 species
GCCAGUAGUCAUAUGCUUGUCUCAAAGAUUAAGCCAUGCAUGUCUAAGUACAUGCCGUAUUAAGGCGAAACCGCGAAUGGCUCAUUAAAUCAGUUAUGGUUCCUUGGAUCGUACCUUACUACUUGGAUAACUGUGGUAAUUCUAGAGCUAAUACAUGCAGCAGAGCUCCGACCUUCGGGGACGAGCGCUUUUAUUAGACCAAAACCAAUCGGACUCUGUCCGUCUCUCGUGGUGACUCUGAAUAACUUUGGGCUGAUCGCACGGGCCCGUCCCGGCGACGUAUCUUUCAAGUGUCUGCCUUAUCAACUUUCGAUGGUAGGUUACGCGCCUACCAUGGUCGUAACGGGUAACGGGGAAUCAGGGUUCGAUUCCGGAGAGGGAGCCUGAGAAACGGCUACCACAUCCAAGGAAGGCAGCAGGCGCGCAAAUUACCCACUCCCAGAACGGGGAGGUAGUGACGAAAAAUAACAAUACGGGACUCUUUUGAGACCCCGUAAUUGGAAUGAGUACACUCUAAAUCCUUUAACGAGGAUCCAUUGGAGGGCAAGUCUGGUGCCAGCCGCCGCGGUAACUCCAGCUCCAAUAGCGUAUAUUAAAGUUGUUGCGGUUAAAAAGCUCGUAGUUGGAUCUCAGUUCCAGACGGGUGGUCCGCCUACCGGUGGUUACUGCCUGUUCUGAACAGCCAGCCGGUUUCUCUUGAUGAUCUUCACCGGUUGUCUUGGGUGACCGGCAAGUUUACUUUGAAAAAAUUAGAGUGCUCAAAGCAGGCGCGACGCCUGAAUAAUGGUGCAUGGAAUAAUGGAAUAGGACCUCGGUUCUAUUUUGUUGGUUUUCGGAACACGAGGUAAUGAUUAAGAGGGACAGACGGGGGCAUUCGUAUUGCGACGCUAGA